UACAGAGGUCCCAAGCGUUGUUCGGAUUCAUUGGGCGUAAAGGGUGCGUAGGUGGCGCGCUAAGUCAGGUGUGAAAUUUCGGAGCUUAACUCCGAAACUGCAUUUGAUACUGGCGUGCUUGAGGACUGGAGGGGAGACUGGAAUUUACGGUGUAGCAGUGAAAUGCGUAGAGAUCGUAAGGAAGACCAGUGGCGAAGGCGGGUCUCUGGACAGUUCCUGACACUGAGGCACGAAGGCCAGGGGAGCAAAAGGG
rnacentral:rRNA from 1 species